rnacentral:rRNA from 1 species
GGCGUCAAGCGCAUGCAGGUGGCUUUGUCUAUGUCAGAUGUGAUAUCCCGGGGCUCAACCUCGAAUGGCAUUUGAAACUGGCAGACUAGAGUACUGUAGAUGGGGGGUAGAAUUUCAGGUGUAGCGGUGAAAUGCGUAGAGAUCUGACGGAAUACCGGUGGCGAAGGCGGCCCCCUGGACAGAUACUGACACUCAGAUGCGAAAGCGUGGGGAGCAAACAGGAUUAGAUACCCUGGUAGUCCACGCCGUAAACGAUGUCUACUUGGAGGUUGUGGCCUUGAGCCGUGGCUUUCGGAGCUAACGCGUUAAGUAGACCGCCUGGGGAGUACGGUCGCAAGAUUAAAACUCAAAUGAAUUGACGGGGGCCCGCACAAGCGGUGGAGCAUGUGGUUUAAUUCGAUGCAACGCGAAGAACCUUACCUACUCUUGACAUCCAGAGAACUUUCCAGAGAUGGAUUGGUGCCUUCGGGAACUCUGAGACAGGUGCUGCAUGGCUGUCGUCAGCUCGUGUUGUGAAAUGUUGGGUUAAGUCCCGCAACGAGCGCAACCCUUAUCCUUGUUUGCCAGCGAGUAAUGUCGGGAACUCCAGGGAGACUGCCGGUGAUAAACCGGAGGAAGGUGGGGACGACGUCAAGUCAUCAUGGCCCUUACGAGUAGGGCUACACACGUGCUACAAUGGCGCAUACAGAGGGCGGCCAACUUGCGAAAGUGAGCGAAUCCCAAAAAGUGCGUCGUAGUCCGGAUUGGAGUCUGCAACUCGACUCCAUGAAGUCGGAAUCGCUAGUAAUCGUGGAUCAGAAUGCCAUGGUGAAUACGUUCCCGGGCCUUGUACACACCGCCCGUCACACCAUGGGAGUGGGCUGCAAAAGAAGUAGUGUAGUUUAACCUUCGGGGAGACGC